rnacentral:rRNA from 1 species
CCUCGGGACGCAGCAGUGAGGAAUAUUGGUCAAUGGGAGAGAUCCUGAACCAGCCAAGCCGCGUGAGGGAAGACGGCCCUAUGGGUUGUAAACCUCUUUUGUCGGAGAACAAAACCCGGGACGUGUCCCGGACUGCGUGUAUCCGAAGAAAAAGCAUCGGCUAACUCCGUGCCAGCAGCCGCGGUAAUACGGAGGAUGCGAGCGUUAUCCGGAUUUACUGGGUGUAAAGGGAGCGUAGACGGCUGUGCAAGUCUGAAGUGAAAUGCCGGGGCCCAACCCCGGAACUGCUUUGGAAACUGUACAGC